rnacentral:rRNA from 1 species
ACAGCAGUAGCCGCGGUAAUACGUAGGGUGCAAGCGUUAAUCGGAAUUACUGGGCGUAAAGCGUGCGCAGGCGGUUUGUUAAGACAGAUGUGAAAUCCCCGGGCUCAACCUGGGAACUGCAUUUGUGACUGGCAAGCUAGAGUGUGGCAGAGGGGGGUGGAAUUCCGCGUGUAGCGGUGAAAUGCGUAGAGAUCGGGAGGAACAUCAGUGGCGAAGGCGGCCAUCUGGGACAACACUGACGCUGAGGCACGAAAGCGUGGGGAGCAAACAGGAUUAGAUACCCCCGUAGUCCCUGUCUCUUAUAC